rnacentral:rRNA from 1 species
AGAGUUUGAUCCUGGCUCAGAGUGACGCUGGCGGCAUGCCUAACACAUGCAAGUCGAACGGUAACAGGCCCGCAAGGGUGCUGACGAGUGGCGGACGGGUGAGGAACACAUCGGAAUUUGCCCAUGUCGUGGGGGAUAACGUAGGGAAACUUACGCUAAUACCGCAUACGACCUAACGGUGAAAGCGGGGGAUCGCAAGACCUCGCGCGAUUGGAUGAGCCGAUGUCGGAUUAGCUAGUUGGCGGGGUAAUGGCCCACCAAGGCGACGAUCGGUAGCCGGCCUGAGAGGGCGGACGGCCACACUGGAACUGAGACACGGUCCAGACUCCUACGGGAGGCAGCAGUGGGGAAUUGUUCACAAUGGGCGCAAGCCUGAUGACGCAACGCCGCGUGGGGGAUGAAGGUCUUCGGAUUGUAAACCCCUGUCGAACGGGACGAAAGACCCGGGAGCUAAUCAUCCUGGGAGUGACGGUACCGUUAAAGGAAGCCACGGCUAACUCUGUGCCAGCAGCCGCGGUAAUACAGAGGUGGCAAGCGUUGUUCGGAAUUACUGGGCGUAAAGGGCGCGUAGGCGGCCCUCUAAGUCAGACGUGAAAUCCCCCGGCUUAACCUGGGAACUGCGUCUGAUACUGGAGGGCUUGAGUAUGGGAGAGGGAUGUAGAAUUCCAGGUGUAGCGGUGAAAUGCGUAGAUAUCUGGAGGAAUACCGGUGGCGAAGGCGGCAUCCUGGACCAUUACUGACGCUGAUGCGCGAAAGCUA